rnacentral:rRNA from 1 species
UACGGGGGGGGCAAGCGUUGUUCGGAAUUACUGGGCGUAAAGGGCUCGUAGGCGGUUUGUCACGUCGGGAGUGAAAACUCGGGGCUUAACCCCGAGCCUGCUUCCGAUACGGGCAGACUAGAGGUAUGCAGGGGAGAACGGAAUUCCUGGUGUAGCGGUGAAAUUCGUAGAUAUCGGGAGGAACACCAGUGGCGAAGGCGGCUCUCUGGGCAGAUACUGACGCUGAGACGCGAAAGCAUGGGGAGCAAACAGG